AAUAUAAGUGAUGGCGACCGGCGCACGGGUGAGUAACACGUAUCCAACCUGCCGAUAACUCGGGGAUAGCCUUUCGAAAGAAAGAUUAAUACCCGAUGGUAUAAUAAAACCGCAUGGUUUAAUUAUUAAAGAAUUUCGGUUAUCGAUGGGGAUGCGUUCCAUUAGGCAGUUGGUGAGGUAACGGCUCGCCAAACCUUCGAUGGAUAGGGGUUCUGAGAGGAAGGUCCCCCACAUUGGAACUGAGACACGGUCCAA
rnacentral:rRNA from 1 species